rnacentral:rRNA from 1 species
GACGAACGCUGGCGGCGUGCCUAAUACAUGCAAGUCGAACGCACAGUUUAUACCGUAGCUUGCUACACCAUAAACUGUGAGUUGCGAACGGGUGAGUAACGCGUAGGUAACCUGCCUGGUAGCGGGGGAUAACUAUUGGAAACGAUAGCUAAUACCGCAUAAUAUUGAUUAUUGCAUGAUAAUUGAUUGAAAGAUGCUAUUGCAUCACUACCAGAUGGACCUGCGUUGUAUUAGCUAGUAGGUGAGGUAACGGCUCACCUAGGCGACGAUACAUAGCCGACCUGAGAGGGUGAUCGGCCACACUGGGACUGAGACACGGCCCAGACUCCUACGGGAGGCAGCAGUAGGGAAUCUUCGGCAAUGGACGAAAGUCUGACCGAGCAACGCCGCGUGAGUGAAGAAGGUUGUCGGAUCGUAAAGCUCGGUUGUAAGAGAAGAACGGGUGUGAGAGUGGAAAGUUUACACUGUGACGGUAGCUUACCAGAAAGGGACGGCUAACUACGUG